AUUGAACGCUGGCGGAAUGCUUUACACAUGCAAGUCGAACGGCAGCACGGGGCAACCUGGUGGCGAGUGGCGAACGGGUGAGUAAUACAUCGGAACGUGCCCAAUCGUGGGGGAUAACGUAGCGAAAGUUACGCUAAUACCGCAUACGAUCUACGGAUGAAAGCGGGGGAUCGCAAGACCUCGCGCGAGUGGAGCGGCCGAUGUCAGAUUAGGUAGUUGGUGGGGUAAAGGCUCACCAAGCCAACGAUCUGUAGCUGGUCUGAGAGGACGACCAGCCACACUGGAACUGAGACACGGUCCAGACUCCUACGGGAGGCAGCAGUGGGGAAUUUUGGACAAUGGGCGCAAGCCUGAUCCAGCCAUUCCGCGUGCAGGAUGAAGGCCUUCGGGUUGUAAACUGCUUUUGUACGGAACGAAACGGCGAGCUCUAAUACAGUUUGCUAAAUGACGGUACCGUAAGAAUAAGCACCGGCUAACUACGUG
rnacentral:rRNA from 1 species